AAGGGAUACACUGAAUGGCAAAGAAUCCCUGCUCUAAGCCCACCACAAAGAAGGUGCUGACCUUCAUUGGAUCAUGCUCUGUGAUUCUUUCUUAUUGGAUUUUGGAUUAGCAUCUUUUUCCCAUUUCCCUCUCAACCCCAAGAGAUAAUCUGACUAGGUCCCUCCAAAGAUCUCAUCCUCACAUGAUAUGCCAUUGAUUUCUACAAAACACGAUGGUUGUCCAGCCACUGCUGAAUCCUCA